UAGUAAUUCCUGAGGAAAGAAUUAACUCCUUUGCCGAUCAAGGAGGAGGCGUUUGAGUUUGACAGAGCUGACGGGGAUGGGAUUUGGGUUCCAGGGGAUAAGGAUAGAAGUGGCGGCUAGGCUUGCACUUGCACGGUUUGAAUAGGGGACGAGAUCACGACCGAUUUAAAGCGUUUCCUUGGGGCUUAUCGCGAACCACGGCCGCCGACGGCGCCACCGCCCACUGCUGCCGCGGCGCCCCGCGCAGAGAGUGAUUAGGCCAGAGAAAAGAAUAGUGGUGCUCAGCCAUCGAGGCGUGUACGCGCAGACUUCCUCAACGCCUCGAGCGAUCCUUGGCGGUGCCGGCGUUGUCCGGCGCGGCGGUCUGCAGCGGUCUUGGCGCGGAUAAUGACACCGGUCACGGCGGCGCCCGCACGCGUUUGCGUCGCUAUGAAGACUCCGUCUAGCGCGCACGGCUUCCGCACAGAAGAAUUUCUGUCAAUACCGAUUCAAUCAACCACAACCCCGUCCACGGCGAGAAUACAUGCGCAUGCAUAAAUCCGUAAAAGAGGUAAACUGGAUCAGGAGAUUUAUCCGUUUGCUUUGUCUUCUUCCCAUCAAUCAACGAUCUAUCCAUAAUUUUUCUCGUGUACAUGUAUGCACUCACGAGAAUUACUUCCAUCCGAGUUCAUAGGAGAAGAAUACAUGGAUUAAAGUACCAAAGGCCUCGAACACGAUCUGCCAAAAGGUAAAAUCACUUGAUUGCAGAGAGACGACAAACAAUGAGUAUCGGGAAGGACAAGAACCAGGACUCACCGACAAGAACAUCAACCAUCGGCCCCGGCGUUGUGCUUGGCCACGGGAUGCUGCGCACGACGCAAGCGGCAGCCUCGAAGCCUGUGACGACGGCUUGCGAGACACAGCACCGUCCUCCGGCGCGGCCUCGCCUUCCCAGCCGGCGAUGUUGCGCCGUCCUCCAGACGACGGCCUGCGCGCGGCGUGGUGACUGGAGAGGACCUCCGUCGCAGCACUGGCACGCGACACCCGAGCCCUUUCAUCCGGCAUCAAGGAGGCGACGCGACCCACGGCACCCUGCGGCGUGGCUGCUAGCGGACAUGGCCACUCCCGCAGCAGCAGGCUCUCAGGCACGGCCGCGGCGUCUCCCGGCGCGCAGCAGACGACACGCUCCAACGGCGCCCUCCGGCGCACAGCAAUGGCCGACACGGCAGGCCCUCCGGCCGGUGGCGGUGUCUAAUCCCUAGCCACACAGAAAGAAAUUGGGAAUUUCUUAUCUCUUUGACGAAUUUGUAAUUUAACCCUCAGGUUAUGUGACGAUCCAUAUAACUCGUUAGGUUUUCUGUGCAGCCAUCAGGUUAACCAAACUUUACGGUUUAACCCCCAGUUCAUCCCAAAUUAUAUAUACAACAUACUUAUACACCAUUUCACAAUGGGUAAAA